ACGGGAGGCAGCAGUGGGGAAUAUUGCACAAUGGGCGAAAGCCUGAUGCAGCGACGCCGCGUGAAUGAAGAAGUAUUUCGGUAUGUAAAGUUCUAUCAGCAGGGAAGAUAAUGACGGUACCUGACUAAGAAGCACCGGCUAAAUACGUGCCAGCAGCCGCGGUAAUACGUAGGGGGCAAGCGUUAUCCGGAUUUACUGGGUGUAAAGGGAGCGUAGACGGAAUAGCAAGUUUGAAGUGAAAACCCUGGGCUUAACCCAGGACUUGCUUUGAAAACUGUUGUUCUAGAGUACUGGAGGGGUAUGGGGAAUUCCUAGUGUAGUAGUAAAAUGCGUAGAUAUUAGGAAGAACACCGGAGGCGAAGGCGCCAUACUGGACAGAUACUGACGUUGAGGCUCGAAAGCGUGGGGAGCAAACAGGAUUAGAUACCCUGGUA
rnacentral:rRNA from 1 species